UACGGAGGGUGCAAGCGUUAAUCGGAAUUACUGGGCGUAAAGCGUGCGCAGGCGGUUUGUUAAGUCUGUUGUGAAAUCCCCGAGCUCAACUUGGGAAUUGCAAUGGAUACUGGCAGGCUGGAGUAUGGUAGAGGAAGGUGGAAUUCCCGGUGUAGCAGUGAAAUGCGUAGAGAUCGGGAGGAACACCAGUGGCGAAGGCGGCCUUCCGGACCAAUACUGACGCUCAUGCACGAAAGCGUGGGGAGCAAACAGG
rnacentral:rRNA from 1 species